rnacentral:rRNA from 1 species
GAUGAACGCUAGCUACAGGCUUAACACAUGCAAGUCGAGGGACCGGCGCCCGGGUGAGUAACACGUAUCCAACCUGCCCUUUACUCGGGGAUAGCCUUUCGAAAGAAAGAUUAAUACCCGAUAUCAAGGAUGGGGAUGAGUUCCAUUAGGUUGUGGGUGAGGUAACGGCUCACCAAGCCUUCGAUGGAUAGGGGUUCUGAGAGGAAGGACCCCCAGAUUGGAACUCGGACAAGGUCCAAACUCCUACGGGAGGCAGCAGUGAGGAAUAAUGGGCAAGGGGAGCUAGCCUGAACCAGCCAAGUAGCGUGAAGGAUGAUGGCUUAUGGGGCGUAAAUGUCUUUUAUAUAAGAAGAGGUAUUAUAUGAAUAAGGAUCGGCUAACUACGUGCCAGCAGCCGCGGUAAUUC